rnacentral:sRNA from 1 species
UCUCUUAUAGGUCUCUACUAUUGCUCUCUGAUCAAAUAUUAGAAGAGUGCGAAUCAAAAGAACAUUAACGGGAUAACAAUCAAGUUACGAGUUACUAUUUACUAAUCGGUGCAUACAUGUCACUCAAUAGACACAAAAACCUGGAAACUAGAAAAUCUGAACAUUCUAGAAGAUGGAUUCAACAUUUCUCUUGCAAAUCAUUUGGAAAGUUCACUGCCGUUCACGGGAAUUGCACUCCCUGCUACUAUGAACUAAACUGUUAAUAUUCGAAGGUGGAUAAAUGUCGGCGGACGUUCUCCAAGGAUCACAUUCACCUGACAGCUGUUCAUAGCAUCUGAUACUGUGACUUCAUGAAUAUUGUCUGCAUGCAAAAAAAAAACGCUUGGUUUAUUUUUAGCGACAAACAAAUCCCUUUUAUUGAGAAAGUAUCUAAGCCAAAAAUAUGUUAUGUUACGCAAAAAUAUGCUUAUUUUAAUGGUUCAUCUUUUGUGUCACUUUCAAUAUGAUUUUUUUCAUAAGUGAUCAGUCAAGCCAUAAUCAGUACUGGUGGAAGCGUGGUUGUAUGCGGAUGGUAAACACGCCGAACAGCUGUCAAACUCAAUAUAAAACAAGUAAAAGUGCGCUAAGUUCAGCCGGGCCGAAUCUUAUAUACCCUCCACCAUGGAUCGCA